UACGUAGGGUGCAAGCGUUAAUCGGAAUUACUGGGCGUAAAGCGUGCGCAGGCGGUUUUGUAAGUCUGACGUGAAAUCCCCGGGCUCAACCUGGGAAUUGCGUUGGAGACUGCAAGGCUGGAGUUUGGCAGAGGGGGGUAGAAUUCCACGUGUAGCAGUGAAAUGCGUAGAGAUGUGGAGGAACACCGAUGGCGAAGGCAGCCCCCUGGGUCAAGACUGACGCUCAUGCACGAAAGCGUGGGGAGCAAACAGG
rnacentral:rRNA from 1 species